rnacentral:ncRNA from 1 species
CCACCCGUGAAAAUGCCCUUUCACCCACCUAGGAGUAAGGAGCUGAUAUCAGGCACAAACUCUGCCCAAGACAUCUAGCCUCGCCACACCCACAAGGGUCUUCAGCAGUGAUUAAUAUUAAAAAUAAACGUCAGUUUGACUUAGCCAAUGAAAAUAGAGCCGGCCAAUCUGGUGCCAGCCGCCGCGGUUACACCAUGUGGCUCAAAUUGAUUUUAGUGCGGCGUAAAGCGUGAUUAAAGAGACAAAAUACUGGGGUCAAACUUAAACUAAGCUGUAAAACGCCCGUUUUUAAGAAGCUCUUACCCCGAAAGAUACCCCAACCCACCAACUUGAACUCACAACAACUAGAAUACAAACUGGGAUUAGAUACCCCACUAUGUCUAGUCGUAAACUUUAACUUACAUUCUCUAUCGCCAGGGUACUACGAGCAAAGCUUAAAACCCAAAGGACUUGACGGUGCCCCACAUCCUUCUAGAGGAGCCUGUCCUGUAACCGAUACUCCACGUUCAACCUCACCAUUUUUAGCCAAUCAGCCUGUAUACUUCCGUCGUCAGCUUACCGCGUGAGCGAGUUCAGUAAGCUUAAUGUCAUCCGCCAAUACGUCAGGUCAAAGUGCAGCAAAUAAAAUGGCAAGAGAUGGGCUACACUUUCUAUAUUAGAAAACACGAAAGAUUAUGUGAAACCAUUAUCAGAAGGCGGAUUUAGCAGUAAGAGGAAAAUAGAAUAUUCUUCUUAACUUGGCACUGGGGUGUGUACACACCGCCCGUCACCCUCUUCAACAAUCUUCCAUAGUAUCUAACAGCCUAUUACCCCCGUAGAAGAGGUAAGUCGUAACAUGGUAAGUAUACCGGAAGGUGUGCUUGGAAA